GACGUAGGGGGCCAGCGUUGUUCGGAAUUACUGGGGGUAAAGGGUUCGUAGGCGGUGCGGCAAGUCGGGAGUGAAAUCUCUGGGCUCAACCCAGAGGCUGCUUCCGAAACUGCUGUGCUUGAGUGUGGGAGAGGCGCGUGGAAUUGCAGGUGUAGCGGUGAAAUGCGUAGAUAUCUGCAGGAACACCCGUGGCGAAAGCGGCGCGCUGGACCACUACUGACGCUGAAGAACGAAAGCUAGGGGAGCAAACAGG
rnacentral:rRNA from 1 species